rnacentral:rRNA from 1 species
GACGAACGCUGGCGGCGUGCCUAAUACAUGCAAGUAGAACGCUGAAGAGAGGAGCUUGCUCUUCUUGGAUGAGUUGCGAACGGGUGAGUAACGCGUAGGUAACCUGCCUGGUAGCGGGGGAUAACUAUUGGAAACGAUAGCUAAUACCGCAUAAAAUUGAUUAUUGCAUGAUAAUUAAUUGAAAGAUGCAAUUGCAUCACUACCAGAUGGACCUGCGUUGUAUUAGCUAGUUGGUGAGGUAACGGCUCACCAAGGCGACGAUACAUAGCCGACCUGAGAGGGUGAUCGGCCACACUGGGACUGAGACACGGCCCAGACUCCUACGGGAGGCAGCAGUAGGGAAUCUUCGGCAAUGGGGGGAACCCUGACCGAGCAACGCCGCGUGAGUGAAGAAGGUUUUCGGAUCGUAAAGCUCUGUUGUAAGAGAAGAACGGGUGUGAGAGUGGAAAGUUCACACUGUGACGUAUCUACCAGAAAGGC